GCUUCGAUGUGGCCUAGUGGUUAGAGCAUCUGCCUCGGAUGUGGAAGGUCGUUGGUUCGAUCCUUUGUCGAGUCA